rnacentral:rRNA from 1 species
AGAGUUUGAUCCUGGCUCAGAAUGAACGCUGGCGGCGUGCCUAACACAUGCAAGUCGGAUGUGCCGCAAGGUGCAUGGCAGACGGGUGAGUAACGCGUAGGGAAUCUACCUCUUUGUGGGGAAUAACGCUCCGAAAGGAGUGGUAAUACCGCAUGAGACCGAGUGCUGGGAUGCAUUCGGUGAAACCUGGGGACCGCAAGGCCUGGGGCAAGGAGAGGAUCCUGCGUCUGAUUAGCUAGUUGGCGGGGUAAUGGCCCACCAAGGCGACGAUCAGUAGCCGGCCUGAGAGGGUGAUCGGCCACACUGGAACUGAGACACGGUCCAGACUCCUACGGGAGGCAGCAGUGGGGAAUUUUGCGCAAUGGACGAAAGUCUGACGCAGCAACGCCGCGUGGGUGAUGAAGGUCUUCGGACUGUAAAGCCCUGUCGUCAGGGACGAAGGUG